AAUAUUGGACAAUGGGGGCAACCCUGAUCCAGCCAUGCCGCGUGUGUGAAGAAGGUCUNCGGUUUNUNAAGCACUUUAAGUUGGGNGGAAGGGCUGUAGGCUAAUAUCCUGAAGUUUGGACGUUACCAACAGAUUAAGCACCGGCUAACUCUGUGCCAGCAGCCGCGGUAAUACAGAGGGUGCAAGGGUUAAUCGGAAUUACUGGGCGUAAAGCGCGAGUAGGUGGUUAAGUCAGAUGGGUGUGAAAUCCCCGGGCUAAACCUGGGAACAGCUUUAAUAACGGCUGAGCUAGAGUACGGUAGAGGGUAGUGGAAUUUCCUGUGUAGCGGUGAAAUGCGUAGAUAUAGGAAGGAACACCAGUGGCGAAGGCGACUACCUGGACUGAUACUGACACUGAGGUGCGAAAGCGUGGGGAGCAAACA
rnacentral:rRNA from 1 species